ACUGUUAUUUUAUAUUAAAAACUUGACCCCAGCAUUUCCAUUUACCUCCAUUUAUUUUGGAUGGAGUGAGUUCACUCGAAAGGGGGCGUGGCUUAAUUUGCGAGCGUGAUGUGACUGACGACGGACUGCAGAUGACGUAGCGGGGUGUUGUGACUUCUUCCACUCGUGCCUGAGGCUGUUGGCAGGUUGGAAUUACUCACUGUGACUUUAAAUGCUGUCCAUCCAAGAAGUGUAUUAUGGCGCAGUCCUUUAGGAGAUACUACUGCAGCGUCCCUUAUUGCUCCAGCAACAAACAGAAACACCCCUAUUUGAGUUUCCAUGAGUUCCCCUUCCACGCAGAUACAAGUGCACGGUGGGUCAGGGCAAUCAAAAGAGAGGAGGGCCUGAGUUUCAGAGUCCUCCGUGGGAGCACCUAUGUGUGCAGUCAACACUUUGACUCAGAGGAUGAAGUCAUCUCAGUCAGUGGACGGAUCCGGAUCAAACGUGGAGCAGUGCCAUCCAGAUUCCACUGGAACGACUGGGGCAGAGGCUCAAAACCUUCAGUUCUCCAACGAGAGAGGAAGCUGCUUGCAGGUGCCAUGGCAAAAGAUCAUAACUAUGCCUGCUGUUCCCGUUCAGGUGAUCCGGACUCUUCCACCCAGAGAACAACAGAUCUCAAACUGCAGCUUCAGUCACCAAACAUCGACCUCCAGCAGCAGCCCCUGAUCUUCAAGUUCUGCAGCACCGAUGCAGACUGUCGUUACUACACCCGAUUCAGCUCCAUGCAGGUCUUCACUGUGUUUUGGGAAUCAGUUUACCCCUCUGCAUCAAGGCUUGUGAAGUGCUCCGAGGCACUGCAGGCGGCACACGGGACCCCGAGUCCUCAACCAGAGCUUCCACUCAUCGAUGAACUAUUCAUGUUUCUCUGUCGGGUUGCAGCUGGGAUCCAGGAGAGAACGUUGUCCUCCAUCUUUGAUGUAAGCGUGUCUUCAGUCAGACACAUCAUUGUAUCAUGGACUCGCUACCUGUACCUGAUUCUGGGCUCGCUACCAGUGUGGAUGACGAGAGAGCAAGUGCAGGCCACAAUGCCCGAGAGGUUGAAGCUCUGCUACCCUCAGCUGAGAGUGAUAAUCGAGCGCACUGAGAUCCACUGUGAAACUGCAUCCUCUCUCUCCCUGCACUCACAAACUGUUUCAAACUGUACAAACCCUGCCUCCUUUAAAGGUCUGAUUGGCAUCGCUCCAUGUGGGGUGAUCACAUUUGUAUCCAGACUGUUCACAGACUCCAUCUCUGAUGAAGAAGUAACAGAAAGGUCACAGAUCAAACAGCUGCUGGAGCCCGGAGACGCAGUGAUAGCUGACAGAGGUUUCCUGACAGAGAGGAUGAUGUCAGAGCUGGGAGCGACACUCGAGUCUCCUCCGCUCAGCGUGGAGGACUCACACAAGACCAGAGCCUUAAACCAUGUGAGUGUUUUAGGAGAGAGAACCAUACGCAGGGUGAAGGAGCACCACAUUUGGGAUGGGCCUGUGCCCCUCUCUGUGGUGGACUCUGUGGAUCAGCUGUGGGUGGUGUGUUGCCUCAUGUCAAACUAUCAGGGAGCUCUGGAGUCAUAAGAUUAUUUGAUAUACAGGUUAGUGUUUUCUAACAAGCUUCUUAACUCUGAAGAAGUCAAUGACUGCAGGGUGGGGGCUUGGUUUGUUUAUUACAGACUGAUUUUCCUUUUGGGUCAAAUUAUUUUAUUGUAAACAUUUUUGGGGGCACACGGCCGACCUGAAGGGUGCAAAGUCAAAGGUACUUCCAGAGCCAGCCUCUAGUGGACACUAGAUAAACUGCAGUUUAUAACACUUCCUCAUUGGCUUCAACUCUCCCAUCACAGCCUGUUUAUAAUUAAUAGGAUACAGAAUACAGGGGAAAUACAGAAUAAACCUUUAACAGACACACACAUGAAGAAGUGAUGAGACAGAAGAGCAAUAAAUCAAUACAAAAGCAUUAAAGGACAAUAAAAAGGUUUUAGGAAGAAGACGAAAUCACAUCAGAGACAAUAGAAAUGGAUAGAUUGACAACAUUAAAAUAA